rnacentral:rRNA from 1 species
UGUCCGGAAUUAUUGGGCGUAAAGAGCUCGUAGGCGGUUUGUCGCGUCUGCUGUGAAAACUGGAGGCUCAACCUCCAGCCUGCAGUGGGUACGGGCAGACUAGAGUGCGGUAGGGGAGAUUGGAAUUCCUGGUGUAGCGGUGGAAUGCGCAGAUAUCAGGAGGAACACCGAUGGCGAAGGCAGAUCUCUGGGCCGUAACUGACGCUGAGGAGCGAAAGCAUGGGGAGCGAACAGGAUUAGAUACCCUGGUAGUCCAUGCCGUAAACGUUGGGAACUAGAUGUGGGGGCCAUUCCACGGUCUCCGUGUCGCAGCUAACGCAUUAAGUUCCCCGCCUGGGGAGUACGGCCGCAAGGCUAAAACUCAAAGGAAUUGACGGGGGCCCGCACAAGCGGCGGAGCAUGCGGAUUAAUUCGAUGCAACGCGAAGAACCUUACCAAGGCUUGACAUAUACGAGAACGGGCCAGAAAUGGUCAACUCUUUGGACACUCGUAAACAGGUGGUGCAUGGUUGUCGUCAGCUCGUGUCGUGAGAUGUUGGGUUAAGUCCCGCAACGAGCGCAACCCUCGUUCUAUGUUGCCAGCACGUUAUGGUGGGAACUCAUAGGAGACUGCCGGGGUCAACUCGGAGGAAGGUGGGGAUGACGUCAAAUCAUCAUGCCCCUUAUGUCUUGGGCUUCACGCAUGCUACAAUGGCCGGUACAAAGGGCUGCAAUACCGUAAGGUGGAGCGAAUCCCAAAAAGCCGGUCUCAGUUCGGAUUGAGGUCUGCAACUCGACCUCAUGAAGUCGGAGUCGCUAGUAAUCGCAGAUCAGCAACGCUGCGGUGAAUACGUUCCCGGGCCUUGUACACACCGCCCGUCAAGUCAUGAAAGUCGGUAACACCCAACGCCAGUGG